AUGUAGGAUUGGAUUCAUGGCAGGUCUAAUCUCUGGGCCUCUCAUAAUGCCCCAUGCCAGAGCAAAUCGGGGCCCUGAACAAUUUCCUGGUCUCUGUGCUUGUACAUGGUGGGCACUGAAGCAGCUCACACAGUG